GUGGGGAAUUUUGGACAAUGGGCGCAAGCCUGAUCCAGCAAUGCCGCGUGUGUGAAGAAGGCAUUCGGGUUGUAAAGCACUUUUGUCCGGAAAGAAAUCUCCUGGGUUAAUACCUCGGGGGGAUGACGGUACCGGAAGAAUAAGCACCGGCUAACUACGUGCCAGCAGCCGCGGUAAUACGUAGGGUGCGAGCGUUAAUCGGAAUUACUGGGCGUAAAGCGUGCGCAGGCGGCUAUGCAAGACAGAUGUGAAAUCCCCGGGCUCAACCUGGGAACUGCAUUUGUGACUGCAUGGCUAGAGUGCGUCAGAGGGAGGUGGAAUUCCGCGUGUAGCAGUGAAAUGCGUAGAGAUGCGGAGGAACACCGAUGGCGAAGGCAGCCUCCUGGGAUGACACUGACGCUCAUGCACGAAAGCGUGGGGAGCAAACAGGAUUAGAAACCCGGGUAGUCC
rnacentral:rRNA from 1 species